ensembl:miRNA
CGUCCUCCGGUGCCUACUGAGCUGAUAUCAGUUCUGAUUUUAUAUACUGGCUCAGUUCAGCAGGAACAGGAGUCGAG